UAGUCUGUUGCAAUUAGAUACAUUACUCUG
rnacentral:piRNA from 2 species